rnacentral:rRNA from 1 species
AUUGAACGCUGGCGGCAUGCCUUACACAUGCAAGUCCAACGGUAACAGGUCUUCGGAUGCUGACGAGUGGCGCACGGGUGAGUAAUACAUCGGAACGUGCCCGAUCGUGGGGGAUAACGAGGCGAAAGCUUUGCUAAUACCGCAUACGAUCUACGGAUGAAAGCGGGGGAUCUUCGGACCUCGCGCGGACGGAGCGGCCGAUGGCAGAUUAGGUAGUUGGUGGGAUAAAAGCUUACCAAGCCGACGAUCUGUAGCUGGUCUGAGAGGAUGAUCAGCCACACUGGGACUGAGACACGGCCCAGACUCCUACGGGAGGCAGCAGUGGGGAAUUUUGGACAAUGGGCGAAAGCCUGAUCCAGCCAUGCCGCGUGCAGGAUGAAGGCCUUUGGGUUGUAAACUGCUUUUGUACGGAACGAAAAGCCUCUUUCUAAUAAAGAGGGGUCAUGACGGUACCGUAAGAAUAAGCACCGGCUAACUACGUG